GGCACUCUAGUUACAAAAGCAAGAAAGAAAUUAAAGAGAAAAUUGAAAAUGAGUCCUCUUUAUUCUCUUACAUUGGCUAUAAAUGUCAUUUCCAUCUUCAUCUUCUUCCUUUUGCUCUCUUACUCCAUGCGUGUUGAUGGUUCAAGGAUGCUGCAUGUGCAUGAUCAUCAAUCUAAUUCCCUUCCAUCAAUAUUAAAGGGUUUAGGCAUGGCUUACUCUGGGCCAAGCCACGAUGGUCGCGGGCACUGACAGGCACCGUAACGUGUUUUGGUACUUAACGCAUUAUACAAUUACUACUUUAAUAUGACUCUAUAAUAAGCUAGCGUUACUUCUCAGAACAAUAAUAAGUGCAUAUGCAUAUGUGUAUGAAGAAAAAUGCCAAAGAAAUUGAAGCCCAAUAGAACGCUGACAAAAAUA
rnacentral:lncRNA from 1 species